rnacentral:rRNA from 1 species
UGCCAGACUCCUACGGGAGGCAGCAGUGGGGAAUAUUGCACAAUGGGGGAAACCCUGAUGCAGCGACGCCGCGUGAGUGAAGAAGUAAUUCGUUAUGUAAAGCUCUAUCAGCAGGGAAGAAAAUGACGGUACCUGAGUAAGAAGCCCCGGCUAACUACGUGCCAGCAGCCGCGGUAAUACGUAGGGGGCAAGCGUUAUCCGGAUUUACUGGGUGUAAAGGGAGCGUAGACGGCAGUGCAAGUCUGGAGUGAAAGGCGGGGGCUCAACCCCCGGACUGCUCUGGAAACUGUACGGCUGGAGUGCAGGAGAGGUAAGUGGAAUUCCUAGUGUAGCGGUGAAAUGCGUAGAUAUUAGAAGGAACACCAAUAGCGUAGGCAGGUUGCUGGGACGGUUCUGACACUAAGGCACGAAAGCGUAGGGAGCAAACGGGAUUAGAUACCCGUGUAU